rnacentral:rRNA from 1 species
AGGGUGACAGGUGGUGCAUGGUUGUCGUCAGCUCGUGUCGUGAGAUGUUGGGUUAAGUCCCGCAACGAGCGCAACCCUCGACCUUAGUUGCCAGCAUUCAGUUGGGCACUCUAAGGUGACUGCCGGCUAAAAGUCGGAGGAAGGUGGGGAUGACGUCAAAUCAUCAUGCCCCUUAUGUCCUGGGCUGCACACGUGCUACAAUGGCCGGUACAAUGGGCUGCGAUGCCGCGAGGCGGAGCGAAUCCCAUAAAACCGGUCCCAGUUCGGAUCGGAGGCUGUAACCCGCCUCCGUGAAGUCGGAGUUGCUAGUAAUCGCGGAUCAGCAUGCCGCGGUCGAAUACGUUCCCGGGCCUU